GAAGAAACGUUUGAGAGAUCUCUGAGUGCUGGUAGUGUCCAGUGUUCAUUUGAUUACGUAAACGCGUCUCAAAUCUCGGAGUAUUCUGAGUUUUUACGCUUCUUUGACAUGGAG